GGGCGUGUGGUCUAGUGGUGUGAUUCUCGCUUUGGGUGCGAGAGGCCCUGGGUUCAAUUCCCAGCUCGCCCC
rnacentral:tRNA from 1 species